GUAGGAAAAAAAUUAUGGAUCCCAUAAGUUGUUUUGGGAAAAAAUGAUUUUUAAGAAGGAAAUCUCUCCUAAACAAACUCUAGCUUGCUUGCCCGAUAAAUAAACUUAUAAGUAAGGUGAGACAUCAGACAUGUUUGCCAUACCAAUAAGAAUUCAACACCAAAAGCUAAGUACUAUUUGACAGUAAGCGUGAAUGCUUCAGCUCCUAUGUCUUCCCAAAGAUAAAUUAUUCUUUUCUUCUGAAGAACUUAUUUAAUAGACUUGGCUCUUAUCACUGCCAAGGCUUAUUGUUCCGUGUUUCUUCAGAAAUAAUUCUACUUUAUGCUCCAUAAUUCGGACUUUCAAGAGCUUAAUUAAAUGCUACUUGGUAUAGUGAGAAUUCCAUCAUUUUACAAGAAAAUAAAGCUUGAGAUAUUUGUUCAAAGUUGAGAUUGUACAGCAAAUUAAAGCACAUUCAGCUGUGCUUAAACAUAAGUAAAAGUUACUUUUAAGUGAUUUUUUUAUUUUCAAUCAUGUUUGAAUGAGCAACAUUUCUCUUAUUUCAAAGUAAAAAAAAGUAACUUUAAUUGUAAUACUUACUGUAAUGUCAUGUCAAAUUUUAAUUAAUAAAAAUAAUCUCUCUACUGAAAGCACAUAUGGUAGAUGGGGUUUUCAAUUAUACAGUUUUCUUGUUCAUUCUUAUGUGACUCUCAAAGCACAUAUUGUAGAUGGGGAAGGGGUGUGAGAAGAAGACUAUUUUCUAAGAUUUAAAAUACCAAGUAUAAAAUGUUGAAAAUAGAAGUACAAAAGGGGUCGAACAUUAAACUGUACGUGUAAUUUAUUGUUAGAAAUUUAGUGAAAAUAUAGGGAUUAUCUGGACUUAUAAGUUAGGAGGUGUAGAUUUUAUAAUCAUGAAAUAAGAUGGGGACCAUUGUCUUUUCCAUUAUUGUAAUUGAAUUACUUUUUUUGUAGGUAAUUUUAAUUUUUUUUUAUUUAAGCCUUCUUUAUUAUAUAUUGGGUCUUGAUAAAUUAUGUUUUUUGAUGGUCAGUUUAAUUUACUACUCUUUUUGUCCCUCUUUUUUUUAUUAAGGGACUACUACCAAUUAUUAAUUAUCUCUUUCUAUUUUUCUUAAUCAUUAUUUUCUUAAUCUAUUGCUACUAAAAUUUCAUGGAGGUAACUCUAUUUCUCAUUAGCUUCUAAUGGCUUUUUCUCCACAUUUUUACCAUUUAUGUUUAGCAUAAUAGGUCUUGCUAAUAUUCUUAAUACAGAUAGUAAAACUUAUUAGCCAACUAGUAAAUUUUCCCAUUCAAUACUCUUUCGACUAAAUGUUCCCUUUUUUCUCUUCAUCCUUCGUAUUGGAAGAAUAGACAAAAAAAUUGAUAUUAUUCAACCUAAGAUCUAUUUAAAUGUAGCAAUAAAAAUGAAAAUUUUUCUAUUGGAUAAUUACAAUAGUAUCACAGAAUUGAAGUCCUUAAAACAUUUCAACAAUAAAUUGUUACAUGAAUAAGAUAGCCUUCGAUUGAGAAAAAUACUAUUUGGUUGAAAUAAAUACUUGAAACUUUUAGUAGAAUUGGUAUCAUGUACUAAUAUCCAGAAAAGCAAAACAACUGCACAUCAUCAGUUACUCGAUAAUGCAAUAGUAAUUAUGAACUGAUAAAAAAAAAUCUUGACAUCCUAGAGCCAAGUUAAGGGAAAAAUGAACUUCUUAAUCAAAAUGAUCAAUCUUCAAGUCAAUAGCAUGCUAAAAGGUAAGGUAGCACAUAAUUUCUAUAAAAUAUCAUGUUUCAAUUUUGUUGAUAAUUGUCUCUUUUAUGGUGCUUUUUUCUUGAACAAAUAAGGGCUUUCGAUUAUUGUUGAACAUUUAAUGUAUAUAUUUAUCAAUUGUCUCUGUAGUAUAAAUAUUAUGUCAAACAGGGUUGAUCUACCACACCAUUUCUUUACAAUUAUUGCAAGUUCAUUGGGCCAUAACGAUCGUCUGGCGAGUUCUAAAAUGAUCUCUUUGUUAGCAUUUAUUUAUUGGGCCAUAAUAUUCGUUUGGUGAGUUCUAAAACUAAAUAUAAAGUAAAUAAUAUUCCUUAUAAGACUUAUAUUUUUUUAUAGUCGACACCGAGAACUUUUGUACAACGCUUGGGACACGAUCUUACUCAUGCAGUACGUUUGAUUGGUUAUGAUGACAUUAUCCGUAGCAUACAACUCGAAAGAGUUGAUGAUAACAUAUAUCUUGCUGCUGGACGGCCACAGUUUUUUAACCACCAUAAUUUGCAAAAUGGUUAUGUUAUUGUCUUUGAAUACCAAGGAAAUUCUACUUUCGAUGUUUCGAUAUUUGACCAUUCAGGCGUAGAAGUGACGUAUUAGUCUGAGGGAUUUGAGGUAGAGCUUUCACAUAGUGGUAAUCCUAUUUUCCGAGUAAUAUUAGAGGCUGCUCGCGAUGGUUAUAGAAUAAUUGUGAGCUCCUCUUUCACUUGAAUCUCUUUUAUCUUUAUCUUUCUCAAAUUACACGUAUGAACAAUUUUCAUAUUUGUUUUUCUCAUCUAAUUUGAAAUUUCACGACUUAUAGAUUUGUCAUUCUAUUUUGUAGUAUGUACCUAGAGCCUUCGCUCGAUUGUAUCUACCAAAAUUUGUACAGAGUGUUCAAAUCCAUGAUAGUUCACAUUAUAAUUGGUUAGUGCAAACGAAUCUAAGAACCAAUGGUUAUGUAUGACAUUUCACCGUAGAUUGGGCAGAUUAUGUUAGGGAGAAACGGUUUCAAAUACGUGAAACAUGUGUAUUUGAACUUAUAGACGAUGAAAUCCCAAUGUUCGUGGUUUACAAAGUGUGUCGCACUGAUGGGACUAUUACAUAAAUUGUACAUCUUCAUUCGUAGCUUUCACGUUUGCUUAUUAUGGAACAUCUGUUAUGUUCUCUUAUGUAUGAACACUAUAUAACUAGAUCCAUUGGGAUUUUGACUUGUAAUUUGCUUAUGUUCUUAUUUCAAGAUCGCAUCCAAUUUGUAGAUUCUGUUCAUUUUGAAUAGGUUGUAACAGAAAUUUGAUUUAAUUACAUAUAAUUAACCUAUAUGUUGAUGUCCUACAUUUGGACUUCAUGCAAUGCUACAUCAUCGUCAUUUGGAGUUUGACAACCUUCUAGCUAAAAUUAUUUCAAGUACAUCUAGAGAGUCAAAUAUUGGCAAUAGUGUUUGAGCCAUUUCCAAAGCAUUUAUCACUAAGUUUAGAAAGAACUCUUCUAAAAGUCUACCAUAAUUUAAAGGAGCAAUCAAAUAUCUUCACGAAAACUUCUCUUUUGUUUAUAGUUACAAAAUGAACAAGAUAUAGCUCAAACCAACAAUGACUUUUCUGUUAAAAUAUUUGAUUGUUCUUUUAAAUUAUAUUUUGCUUUUGGGAGACUUUUUCUAAUUUAGUGAUGAUUACUUUGGAAGAGGUGUAAACUCUAUAUUUCAACAUGAUAUUACAUUGAGGAAGCUUUUUAUGAUUAUAAUGGCUCAUCUAAUGGAUGAUCAAGUCAUAACAAAAGGAAAACUUCAUUCAUCAUCAUCAUACCAGUUUGAAGACAACAUCAAUGCCACAAUAUAAAAAUCUUAUUUGCUCAUUUUGUCCUUUCCAUCUAAAUGAUUCUACCACAACCACCUCCAAACCUUUGUUUUAUUUGAUAGUACUGAUAACAAGAACUUUGCGAGGCUUUUGGCUUGUAACUUUGUUUUAUUUUGAAAUACUACUUGUGUGAAAAGUCUUCCAUGAAGUUUGAGCUUAACAACAAUGUAUAAUAAGUUUCAUGAUGCUUUAGCUUCUAACUUGACUAUGAUGAUAUAAAGAGUGCAUCUUCUGAAACAUAUAGGUCAUCAUUCAUUUGCUUCUUACAAUAUUUGUUUUAGUCUAUUAGUUAACAUUUUAUUAUGAACCAUUAAUAGAAUUCUUUUUCAAAUUGAUUCCUCCAUCAUAGCUCUAUCUUUUUUAAGUUGCCGAAAGUAAACUUUGCACAAUUUGAUUAUUCCAUCAAAACUUCUCUUUCCCUUCUCCAUUAUCAACAUUACAAAAUAAGAUUUGACUAUUGGUAUCUAGAAAAUAACAAAUACCACUCUACGCUAUUACAUACUUAACUAUACUAUAACACGUGCCUUGCACGUGCGACCCACUAGUAUAAUA